UGGGGUGUGUAAACUCCAUAUUGGAGACUGC
rnacentral:piRNA from 1 species